rnacentral:rRNA from 1 species
GGGCGCAAGCCUGAUGCAGCCAUGCCGCGUGUGUGAAGAAGGCCUUCGGGUUGUUAAAGCACUUUCAGUCGUGAGGAAGGUAGUGUAGUUAAUAGCUGCAUUAUUUGACGUUAGCGACAGAAGAAGCACCGGCUAACUCCGUGCCAGCAGCCGCGGUAAUACGGAGGGUGCGAGCGUUAAUCGGAAUUACUGGGCGUAAAGCGCAUGCAGGUGGUUUGUUAAGUCAGAUGUGAAAGCCCGGGGCUCAACCUCGGAAUUGCAUUUGUAAACUGGCAGACUAGAGUACUGUAGAGGGGGGUAGGAAUUUCAGGUGUAGCGGUGAAAAUGCGUAGAGAUCUGGAGGAAUACCGGUGGCGAAGGCGGCCCCCUGGACAGAUACUGACACUCAGAUGCGAAAGCGUGGGGAGCAAACAGGAUUAGAUACCCUGGUAG